UACGGAGGGAGCUAGCGUUGUUCGGAAUUACUGGGCGUAAAGCGCACGUAGGCGGCUUUUUAAGUCAGGGGUGAAAUCCCGGGGCUCAACCCCGGAACUGCCUUUGAAACUGGAUGGCUAGAGUACUGGAGAGGUGAGUGGAAUUCCGAGUGUAGAGGUGAAAUUCGUAGAUAUUAGGAAGAACACCAGUGGCGAAGGCGGCUCACUGGACAGGUAUUGACGCUGAGGUGCGAAAGCGUGGGGAGCAAACAGG
rnacentral:rRNA from 1 species